UCCCCUAGCAGCCGUCCUUACCGUUACCUACGGCCGCCGCCAGCGCCGUUUCCGGCGUCCCGCUGCUUCCGCCGCAUGCUCUCGCCACCGACUCCGCCAAAAUCAAUCUCCCUGUCCCCUCGUCGUCGGUUCCCCUCUCCUCAUGAAUUCGUCCGCCGCCUGCGCCGUUCUCCAUCUCGCUUGCAGCGUUGCCGUCGUCCUGCGGCUUCAUCCUCCGCUUUUUCCCCAAAAAUAAUUUGGGGGAGUACGCGGAGAUGGCCGGCGCGGGUGACGCCGCGAAGGAGUACGCCGCCGGAUGCGCUGCCGGGAUCGCCCAGGUGGCGGUCGGCCACCCUUUCGACACCGUCAAGGUCAAAUUGCAAGCUCACAACACAGCUCAUGGGAAGGUAUACAGGAAUGCUUUCCAUUGUACUAGAAGGUCACUGGUUGAAGAAGGCGUUAGAGGACUUUAUAAAGGUGGAUCAUCUUCAUUUAUUGGUAUAGCACUUGAAAGCUCAGCUCCCUUUUCUUUGGUACAUAUUCACAAGCCAAGCAAUUACUAAAGGGAAAAUGUGAGGAUUCUAGGCCAUAGCUACAGGUAAUAAUACCUUCUGCUGCCUGUAGUGGAGCCUUGAUCAGUCCAGCUGAACUAACAAAGAAUGCAAGUUCAAGGGAAGGAUGCAAUGCAUGCUGCUAGGUACUCCAGUCCUCUAGAUUGUGCUCUAAAGGCACUUCAAAGUGAAGGAAUUGUUACAGCAGUUAUUUUUAGGUGUUACAUGAUUCUGCUUCUUGGUAUAAUAGGGUUUGCACUUUUGCUGGAAUGCUCGGUUCUGUAAAGGAUGCUGACCAGGAAAGCAUAAUAAGUCUAUUCAAAUUCAACUGUUUUAUAGUGUUCUUGGUACAGUAGAUCCAAUAUAUUCAGAUGCCAUACAAAACGGAGUAACUUAAUCUUAGUGUAUCAACUUUACGAUCGGUAAAAGAUGAUGCUGAUGAGCGCGAUUGGCUUGGUGGAGGCUUCGAUAUUUUAUAGUUCCAUUGUAUUGUACUUUAUAAGGAAGUCCCUCCUGGUGAUCAACAAAAUAGCAGUCAAGGCUUCUCUCGGUCAUGCCGUUUUGUUUCUUCGUUUUCUCUUCUUUGUUUCCCUGCUUUUACUGAGCCAAUCAGCGUGAGCGAACCCGCUGGCAGCGCAGACCGUCGUGCAAGGCAUAAAGCACGGAGAAACCGAAGGGCUCGCUACCCUCUCUGGCACGAAGGACGAGACCAGCAGCACAGAAUUGGUCGGCUGACAGCUGCCCUGUUUCGUGCAAGAAACACACAAACUAGCCUUCCAUUCGCUCUAAGUUUCACAUCCAACUAACCACAAAGGAUCCAUGGCUGGCUUACCUUUAGGUACUUCUACCCUACAUAGUAGAAUGCUCAAUCAGGAACCACAUAUUUUUAUUGGUACAUUUUCCAUCUAUUAUUGUUUUCAUCGGAUAAAAGAUUUAAGAGUCAGUUACAACUUUAGUAGGUCAACAUAAUCUUUAGUGCUUUCUUUCACUAAAUUAGUUCUAGUAAUUUGCAGUACUCUAACAAUUUUUAUUCUGCUAUCAAUGUCUUCUAAUUAUGCUCCUAAUCUUUAAUGGUGCGAUUGAUCCUAUAGUUUACAUUCCUUCCUAGUUUCAUAUCCACCUUAUCACAAAGGAUCAAUACAUGGAUUACCUUUAUGUACUUCUACCCAAUGUAGUACUAACCUCUACUUUUUUGUAUUUGCCAUGAUUCCUUCAACCUCUGAUCAUGUCAAGGGUAUAUGUACCACAUAGAAGGAAGGAUCAAUGCCUUCCCCACCUGUUGGUAUUUUGAUUUACUACGCCGACAACAUUACUAGUGUUCUUUUUUUACUAAAUCAAUUUAAGCUCUUUUUUUUAUGCCAUUACCAUUUCCUUUAUUUGUUCCUAAUCUGUAUGGCCAUGCUUAAUUUUCUGUUUUAGUGAUAGAUACAUCCAACUCACACAAAAGGAUCAAUGCUUCUUAUCACACUAAAAAUUAAUUUCCUACUACUUUUUUGACUUCUACAAAAUAGUAUCCUUCGUUUACCUAUAUCACAUUUGAUUCACUGAACUUUUGAUCAUGUCUGGUUGUCUGCUUCCGCAUGCCUCUUUUAUUUAUCAAAGUUACUUUCAUAUGGGCACAUGAGGCUCAUACUAAUUCAUCACACAGGUGCUAAUUUUCUUUAGUACUAUUUGUUUUGUCAUAUGUGGUACCUAUUGUGACAUAUCUGCCUAUGUCAUGUGACCAUUUCAUGUAUUGUGUUCAGGAAAAAUAUACUCUUCUAAUGACUGUAGUUAUGCCCCUACAGUUUCAUAUUCGCUAUUCACCUUAAUCUCACAAACUACGGUCAGAAAAUUCACUUAUAGGAUCUCUGAUUUUCCUUUCAAUGCCUCAUUCUAGGUUCAAACAUUGGAUUAUUCAAAUUAAGACCUUGAUGCUUUCUUUCAGUUUUCUAACUCAUGUGCAGCAGCAGGAGACCCCAUUAGGAUAAGGUCGUAACAUCCAUGAAUACGACUGAAUUACCUUUUGAUGGUAAUGGUUGCUAUGCAAACGUUUUGUAUUUGCCCUAUAAAAACACGGACAUUUCAAAGGUGCAGCGGUGCCUCACGGCGAAACCUGGGCCAACGGACGCGGGGAGGCAACAGAUGCUGCCAUAGCCCGGGUCGGCCGAGGUCGGCGCAACGACAGUUUACGUCUGAACCCCGAGCGGUCUACGUGGUCGCUGCGGUCGGGGCACGUGGCUGGUGCGGGGUACAGGCACGUCAGUUCCCCUCAAAGUUAAGCCACUUUGCCCCGAUUCAGAUUUUUGUCAAAAUUGAGAAUGUGGAGGGAUUGAAUUAUUUUGAUGAAGUCCUAAAACAAGCUGAUGACAUCAUUAUGUAAGAGGAAACCUGGGGAUUGAUCUUCUGCCUGAAAAGAAUGCAAGUUCAAGGGAAGGAUGCAAUGCAUGCUGCUAGGUACUCCAGUCCUCUAGAUUGUGCUCUAAAGGCACUUCAAAGUGAUGGAGUUUGUGGUCUUCUUCGUGGUGGUUUGGCUACAUUGUUUAGAGAGGCAGUUGGCAAUGCUGUCUUCUUUUGCACUUAUGAAUACAGCCGGUAUUGGAUGCACAAUUUUCUAGAUUCACCCUGGUUUUCAAGUGGCAAUCACUUAGUUCUGGCAAAUGAUGUUGGCAUAGGAAUCAUGAGUGGUGGCAUUAGUGGGAUGGUGUUCUGGACAGCUACUCUACCACUUGACGUUGCAAAAACCAUUAUCCAGACUGAUCCUGACCCUCAUUUGAGUCGAAACCCCUUUCAAUUUUAAGCAUGGUUUACAGAAGAGCUGGAAUGGGUGGAUGUUAUGCUGGCCUUGGUCCGACUCUAGCAAGAGCAUUCCCUGCCACUGCAGCAGCAAUUAUUGCUUGGGAAUGCAAUAAGGCGUGACUAGCAUGAGGAACGAGUUAUGGAAAUCAUCCACAUGGUCAAAGCGAUGGUCACUACGGCAACCAUCCAACACUUGUUGCAACCCAACUUGGGAGCACCCCCAAACUGAGGAUUGUGUAAUUAGAUAUUUAUUUACAUCUCUGAUUCUGUGAGGAGGUUAGAGGACUUUAUAAAGGUGGAUCAUCUUCAUUUAUUGGUAUAGCACUUGAAAGCUCAGCUCCCUUUUCUUUGGUACAUAUUCACAAGCCAAACAAUUACUAAAGGUCAAAUUGGAAGCUCACAACACAGCUCAUGGGAAGGUAUACAGGAACGCUUUCCAUUGUACUAGAAGGUCACUGGUUGAAGAAGGCGUUAGAGGACUUUAUAAAGGUGGAUCAUCUUCAUUUAUUGGUAUAGCACUUGAAAGCUCAGCUCCCUUUUCUUUGGUACAUAUUCACAAGCCAAGCAAUUACUAAAGAAGGACGAACUGGAGAAGCAGUGGGCCGACAUGCUAGCACAAGGAAUCAUCCGACCCAACACGUCCCUGUUCUCCUCACGAGUACUAGUAGUCCGCAAGCACGACGGUCAUGGCGGUUCUGCGUCGACUACCGUGCCCUCAACAUGGCAACUGCCAAGGACAAGUUCCCCAUUCGGAUCAUGGACGAACUUCUCAGCGAGCUCCACGGCGCCCACUUCGCCAAGCUCGACCUUUGCUCAGGGUAUCAUGAGGUUCAGAUGCAUAAGGAUGACAUCCACAAGAUGACAUUUCGAACUCACCAAGGACACUUUGAGUUCUUGGUCAUGCUGUUCAGGCUUACGGACGCACCAGCCACGUUCCAGGCACUCAUGAACUCCAUCCUGGCACAAUUCCUCCAUCGGUAGUGUCUUCUUCGACGACAUACUCGCCAAUCAUGGUCUGAACACCUUCAACAUGUUCGAGCCGUCUUGUCCGUCAACCGCGCCAACAAGUUGGUCCUCAAGUGCUCCAAGUGCCACUUCGGGAAACAACAGAUUUCCUACCUCGGACACGUGGUCUCGGCAGCCGGCGUCGCCAAGGAUGCGUAGAACGUGUUUGGAUUGUCAUGUUUGCAAAUCUCCCGAAGGUGACAACUAUAGGUGAUUGGCUCAUUGGGUUUGAUUUCACUGUGGAAUACCGCUCGAGACCACAUCGUAGCAGAUGCGCUUUCCCGAUGCACAGAAGACGCCAUGCUAUCGGCGUCUCAGGCCACUCCUUUGCAGAUAUCUGUCGAGAACAUGCCUCCACCCCAACCUCAUCAAGCUUCUUGUAGACAUCACUGCUAGGAUAGCCGGCCCGUAGUGGUCGCACCGGGACAUCAAGCUUGUUGUAGACAUCGCUGCUGGGACAG